ACUCCUACGGGAGGCAGCAGUGGGAAUAUUGCACAAUGGGCGCAAGCCUGAUGCAGCCAUGCCGCGUGUAUGAAGAAGGCCUUCGGGUUGUAAAGUACUUCAGCAGUGAGGAAGGUAGUGUAGUUAAUAGCUGCAUUAUUUGACGUUAGCUGCAGAAGAAGCACCGGCUAACUCCGUGCCAGCAGCCGCGGUAAUACGGAGGGUGCGAGCGUUAAUCGGAAUUACUGGGCGUAAAGCGCAUGCAGGCGGCCUGUUAAGUCAGAUGUGAAAGCCCGGGGCUUAACCUCGGAAUUGCAUUUGAAACUGGCAGGCUAGAGUCUUGUAGAGGGGGUGAGAAUUAUCAGGUGUAGCGGUGAAAUGCGUAGAGAUCUGAA
rnacentral:rRNA from 1 species